GAUGAACGCUAGCUACAGGCUUAACACAUGCAAGUCGAGGGGUAACGAGAGGAAAGCUUGCUUUCCUUGUUGACGACCGGCGCACGGGUGAGUAACGCGUAUCCAACCUGCCCCCAACUAGGGAAUAACCUUGCGAAAGUAAGACUAAUACCCUAUAAUUUCCUCAGAUGUCAUCUGACGAGGAAUAAAGAUUUAUCGGUUGUGGAUGGGGAUGCGUCUGAUUAGCUUGUUGGCGGGGUAACGGCCCACCAAGGCAACGAUCAGUAGGGGUUCUGAGAGGAAGGUCCCCCACAUUGGGACGUAGACACGGUCCAAACUCCUACGGGAGGCAGCAGUGAGGAAUAUUGGUCAAUGGGCGGAAGCCUGAACCAGCCAAGUAGCGUGCAGGAUGCCGGCCCUAUGGGUUGUAAACUGCUUUUAUACAGGAAUAAAGUUAGCCACGAGUGGUUAUUUGUAGGUACUGUAUGAAUAAGGACCGGCUAAUUCCGUGCCAGCCGCCGCUGUAA
rnacentral:rRNA from 1 species